UGUCUUGGUCUUGUGUUUGCGUGGCCACGUGGAUGCGAUGCCUUCCUCCCUCUCUGAGGGGGGAGGUAAAGGCUUGUCCUAUCCACGUCUGCUAUUCUUCUUUCGGUGCUUCGCCUCUCCCCCCAGUGCUUCUGUGGUCUCUUUCAACAUCCGUUGUGCGCGGCAGUGGAGAGUGGGGUGAGUGUCUGCGAGUGCAUGGAGAGAGAGCGCCGCCUUACACCUGGCCUCACCUUCCAGUCUCGUCCCCUGCCUAUAUAUGUCUGCAUAGUUAUCUAUAUGCGUAUAUAGAUAUAUACGUAGGUAUCGCUGUCUUAUAGCUUAUCUGCGCGCCCCCCUCUCUCAUCGAACUGUUGCUUCUCGUCACGUGCUUUCUCACUCUCACACCAUCCUGCCCGUCAUGUGCGCACAUGCACACACACACACACACACGGACACAUAUUCGGGUGCACGAGGAGACGCAAGGUGAUGCCUGCAGAGACGGCAGCCAAGCCCGUCAGAACGCGCUAUGUGCGGUAAGUAUGCGCGUAUGCACGUGUGUACACGUGGAUGGAACAGAGUUCCUGCCUCACACAGCGAUGAACUCCAGCAAGGGCACAUAGGGAGCUGACGUGCGCUACGCCCGCGCUCUCCCAUGAUCUGCUACAUGCUCUCUUGCGGAUAUCUUCCUCCUCCUCUUCCCGUGCCCUCCUCGUGUCGUAUGGGACACACCCUUCACGUACCUAAUCCUCAUCUUCAUCCUCAUAUCUCCCCGGUCUUACUCUGCACACACACACGAAUACGAGUUUUUUUUUCUUUGGAG
rnacentral:misc_RNA from 1 species